rnacentral:rRNA from 1 species
UACAGAGGUCUCAAGCGUUGUUCGGAUUCAUUGGGCGUAAAGGGCGCGUAGGCGGCCACCGCAAGUCGACUGUGAAAUCUCCGGGCUUAACCCGGAACGGUCAGCCGAUACUGCGGGGCUAGAGUGCAGAAGGGGCAACUGGAAUUCUCGGUGUAGCGGUGAAAUGCGUAGAUAUCGAGAGGAACACCUGCGGCGAAGGCGGGUUGCUGGGCUGACACUGACGCUGAGGCGCGAAAGCCAGGGGAGCGAACGGG